rnacentral:rRNA from 1 species
CUACGCAACGUUCAUCGGCGUAGGGUGAGUCGGCCCCUAAGGCGAGGCAGAGAUGCGUAGCUGAUGGGAAACAGGUCAAUAUUCCUGUACCGAUUGCAAGUGCGAUGUGGGGACGAAUCUUAAUAGGUGAUCCGGGUGUUGGAUGUCCCGGUUUAGACAGAAGUAGGCGUGUGUCAGGCAAAUCCGGCACACAUAUACCGAGGCUGUCGAUCGAGCGAGCUUGCUUGCGAAGUCACUGAACGGGGUUCCAGGAAAAGCCACUAAGCUUCAGCUUGCAACGACCGUACCGCAAACCGACACUGGUGCGCGAGAUGAGUAUUCUAAGGCGCUUGAGAGAACUCUGGAGAAGGAACUCGGCAAAUUGACACCGUAACUUCGGGAGAAGGUGUGCCCUAGUAGUGUGAUGAGAGCAUCUGAGCAUGAACGGGUUGCAAAAAAUUGGUGGCUGCGACUGUUUAUUAAAAACACAGCACUCUGCAAACACGAAAGUGGACGUAUAGGGCGUGACGCCUGCCCGGUGCUGGAAGAUUAAUUGAUGGGGUGCAAGCUUUUGAUCGAAGUCCCAGUAAACGGCGGCCGUAACUAUAACGGUCCUAAGGUAGCGAAAUUCCUUGUCGGGUAAGUUCCGACCUGCACGAAUGGCGUAACGAUGGCCACACUGUCUCCUCCAGAGACUCAGCGAAGUUGAAAUGUUUGUGAUGAUGCAAUCUCCCCGCGGAAAGACGGAAAGACCCCAUGAACCUUUACUGUAGCUUUGUAUUGGACUUUGAACAGAUCUGUGUAGGAUAGGUGGGAGGCUUUGAAGGCAGGAUGCUAGUUCUGCUGGAGCCGACGUUGAAAUACCACCCUGGUGUGUUUGAGGUUCUAACCUAGGUCCCUUAUCGGGAUUGGGGACAGUGCAUGGUAGGCAGUUUGACUGGGGCGGUCUCCUCCCAAAGCGUAACGGAGGAGUUCGAAGGUACGCUAGUUACGGUCGGACAUCGUGACGAUAGUGCAAUGGCAUAAGCGUGCUUAACUGCGAGACUGACAAGUCGAGCAGAUGCGAAAGCAGGACAUAGUGAUCCGGUGGUUCUGUAUGGAAGGGCCAUCGCUCAACGGAUAAAAGGUACUCUGGGGAUAACAGGCUGAUACCGCCCAAGAGUUCAUAUCGACGGCGGUGUUUGGCACCUCGAUGUCGGCUCAUCUCAUCCUGGGGCUGUAGCCGGUCCCAAGGGUAUGGCUGUUCGCCAUUUAAAGAGGUACGUGAGCUGGGUUUAAAACGUCGUGAGACAGUUUGGUCCCUAUCUUCCGUGGGCGCUGCAGAUUUGAGGAAGCCUGCUCCUAGUACGAGAGGACCGGAGUGGACACACCUCUGGUGUACCUGUUGUCACGCCAGUGGCAUCGCAGGGUAGCUAAGUGUGGAAGAGAUAACCGCUGAAAGCAUCUAAGCGGGAAACUCGUUUCAAGAUGAGAUCUGCCGGGGGCUUGACCCCACUGAAGAGUCGUUCUAGACCAGGACGUUGAUAGGCUGGAUGUGGAAGUGCAGCAAUGCAUUAAGCUGACCAGUACUAAUUGCUCGUGCGGCUUGAGC